rnacentral:lncRNA from 1 species
CAUGAAUGGAGAAAUAUCUAUAAAACAACCUCUUUACUCUAAUUUUAAAAUUUUGAAAAAUGUACAAUAAUUAUAUUUUAGGAUUCAUAAACUAAUUAAUUAGGAUAAAACUCAAAUUAUGGAACUUCUCAUGGAAUACAACGUCCACAAGCAAGCAGGCAGGCAGGAAGGAUCCAAACAAGAAAAAAUUCCUAUUUAAGCUUGUCUACAUUCUCAUUUGAAGUCAUUUAUGAAGAAGGAAAAUGGUAUUUUUUUGGAGGGAUCUAUAAUAAGCAAGCAAGCAAGCGGAGUAUGUAUCGACCAUACAAGCUAGCACCACUUGUUAACAUUCACUUCAUUUAAUUUGUUAGUCUCCUUCUUGGUGUCUCCCUUCCCUAUUAAUUUGUUACUCUUCUUCCUAAUGAAUCAUUCAAGUCUUUGUUGAGCCCUCCUCCUCCUUGCUCUCAAAUGUUGCCAACGCCCGCUUCUUCCAAGUCCUAAUUAAUUAUUAAUCCACAAUUAAAAAAAUAAAUAAAUCAAAACUCAAGUAUAUACACUACUAUCACCAGGAAGAAGAGAUUCAUUUUGUAUUUAUUUAUUUUUUCUUUUGCAAAUAAGACAUUUUCUUUUGUGAAUAAAAUUAAGAAGAAAUAAAUUGAAUAACAUAAGGCCACCAACUCUUCUUCGAAAACAGCCUAAUACGCAAUCUAUGAGCCACCGACUUAAAUAGGAAAAUCUGUCCAACAAUAUUGAAGUUAGUUAAUAAUUAAGAGUUAUAAUAAGAGAUUUUUUGGUUUGUAUUUAUGUCUGUUUAAAUGGAAAUGAUUAGUUUUCCACUUACCAAAACUACAUUACCUAAGCUCCGAUCCCCCUUGAAUAAGGCUUCUCUCAAAAGAGCAUCACUAGUAAACACUGCAUGAAUUGAACAAAUGUAUACCAACUUAAGAGUUAGUAUUGUAUAUACAUUGUUACUAUUUUGAUUUUAAGGACCAUUGAAUUAAUUGCUUAAUUAACUCCAAUAACUUGUGAGCUUCCAAAUAGCUAAAUUAAAAACUCAACUUAUAGAUAUAAACUUGUUUAUUAUAGACAUAUAUAUAGUUCAAAUAUAUAUAUAUAUAUAUAUAGUCAUUAAUUGUCAUUGCUAAAUUGAAAUAAGAAAACAAAGCUGAUUUACAAAUAAAACAGUUACUUGGGAUACUGCUGUUCUGAUGUGACUUGUUGUGGCACUUUCGUCAUCAGGAUCAUUCCAGAGGAGAUUUUGGGCUGUGCCAAAUUCAAGCAGCCUCUCCCUACUAGCUCCAGAAUCAUAUAGAUCCUCAAUUUCACUGCUCAUCAAAUUCAAAACUAUGAUUUAAUUAACUAGAACGAUCAACCCCAUUAAAAUAUACUAGUGAUCGAACAGCUAAUUCUUACUUUGUAAACUUGAAACUUUAAUUACAACAUAAAUUUAACUAAUUGUAUUAAUUAAGAGAAUGAUAACAAGAAGAAAUGAACUUUGCCUGAUGCUGAUUCUUGUAUCUUCCGGCUUAUGAUCCGGGACAGUAUAGCCACCUUGGUAGGGAUGUAUAUAUAUAUAUAUAUAUAUGAAGAGGAAGAAAGAUAACAAUUUAAAGAAAAUAAUUAAAUUUCUUAUAAUGAUCAAGUUAUAUAUAUGUGGAUAUACCUUAAUGCUGCCAUUGCAAGCACAUGGCGCCUCAAUUUUAUUCACAAGUUCCUCCUCAUGGCAAAUACGGCAUUCUCCAUUUCUUCAUCAGAAAACGAUAAGUCUUUCAUUUCAAAUUCCCAUCUAUCACCAGAAGAAGUGCCUUCUCCGAAAGGUCGUCUUUGAGUCGCUGACAGUGCCAGGUUAUAACUCAUUUUCUCCUACCACAAAAAUAAAAAUAAAAAACUUACUAAUUAGUACUUAAAUUACUAAUACUUUGUCCCACAAAAGCAGUCUCAUGUGCAAAAAAAAUUUUUAGAACAAAAGAGUUAUUUUUUUGUUGAUAGGAGAAUAGAAUGACACAAUUAUUGUGCUCAAGUUAUUUUUCAAUGAAAAUUAUAAAAAACAUAUACAUACAAGACAAAGAUCGGGCUUUCUUUCCCGUCCUUUUCACUUGUAUUUCAUCUGCAUGCAACAAAAGCUGUUAGUAUAUAUGUUUAAAAGUCAAGCAAACUAUAAAAGAAAAGGAGUAGAAAAUUAAAAUUGAGAAUUACUUGGAUGAUAAGGAAGUCAAUAUAUAGAUUUGAUCUUAUCCGCAAGUAAUGAAUUAGGCUAUAGCUAUAGCUUGUUGAUGGAAAAAGUAAGUGAAUAAGAAAGUGUUUAAAAAGACUUUAAGAAUCGGCUAAGUUCAUCGUAAAGCGAUGCUACAUGUUUAGCGUUGGAAACGUUUUGAGUUGAAAGCUAGACGCGUAAUCAAGGGUUGUUUGCCAACUUUAACUUCUCUGGCAUUUCAUACAUAAAUCUCUUGUUUUUUCUUCUUUUUCUUUGGAUCUUCUGCAUGGCCACCAUGUCGUUACUAAUUUGCUCACUUCUUUCUAUAUUCUUAUUUACGAAUAUAACCAUCUACUCUUUAUAUCCAAAUAUGCCCUCAUCUUUUAUAUUAUAUUCCACCAAUAUACCCUCUUCUUUUUAAAGGUUAUGUACGCAUUAAGUUUGGUUAGCCUAACUUUAUUUUUUUUUCAUUAACCCAAUUUUGGUGUUACAACUUACAAGAAUUAUCUGAAAUGCAUAAACUAUAUUUAAUUAAUUUUCAAACAAACCUAAUCAAAAAUAACUUUAAAAACUCUUGUUAAUAAACUGUCAACUAUGAAUCCGCCCUUUGUCCAGAUAUUUUUAAACUCUUGUUAGCAAAAUGUAUUUAGAAAACUCUUGUUAAGAAACUUGAUAUCCGCCCGUGUCCAGAUAUUUAUGGCAUAAGUGAAUCCUUUACACAACGUCUGGGAGUUUUUGAUGAGAAGAAAAGAAAAGAAAAAGUUAAAGAAAAGAGAAGAAAAGAAAGUUAGAGAAUGUUGGAUAGUUUUAUUUAGUCUUGUCUGGGGAGUUUGUGAAGAAAAAAGAAAGUGAGUUGAUAUAUUUUCUUCAGUCUUGUCUUAGAGUUGAGAAGAAAAGGAAAGAAAACUUAUCCUUUACUAAUUUACCCUUUAAAGGCAUACUAACCUAUUAUUGCGAAGCUCUCUUAUUAUUCUUAUUCUAAUUGUCCAAGAACCUGGCUGUAUACAGGGACUUCACAAACUCAAUACAUAUUAGUUGGGCAAUUUGUGCUAAAAUCUGCAAUGCUUCGUAUUUUAGCUGAUUUGGCCAAAAAUCUCUACUUGAUUUCAAUGGCUUCAAGAAAGGUUGGAUAGUCCUGUGAUUUUUAAAAUUCAAGUACAAAAACAUUAUGAAAGCACUUGAAUAAAAAUGUUUCUUUACAUAACUAAAUUAAAAACUACGCCCAGAAACACUCUUUAUAUAAGAGUUUCAAGUGUUUUCCAAACUGACAGCCAACAUCACAUUAGGAACUAAUGAGAAAAAGGCAAGGGUUUGAGCUAGAACAAUGAGUUCCAAUGCUAUAACUAACUUGUUUACGAAUAUAAGAUUCAGAAUAAGGGCUUAUGCGAUCUGUGAUUUGUGAAUGAAAGGUAGAUUGAGAUUGUUAAGUAGCCCUAGGACAUAGAUGGAAACAAAUUAUGUUAAGCUGAAAAUAUAAGGGCAAAAUUGGUAUUAUGAAAAUAUUACUAACUCAAGUUUUCCUCUCUCCAAAUCUUCUCAUUUUUGAGAAGAAAACUUUGUGGAGAAAAUGAGUCAUUUUUUCCCCAACUUUCCUUAGCUUUCCUUUCUCUUCUCCCAUAAAAAAAUUCCAAGACACUCCUCAAGUUUUAUUUUCCCCAACUUUCCUUUCUUUUCUCCCCUAUUUUAAACUCCAAGACAGGGAGCAUGGAUAAAUAACAGCUCUCAUAGUGGACAGUGUAUAGAUUCUAUAGAAGUGCACCUAAAAUAAUCUUAAACCCAAAAAUUAACUUUUCCCUCUUUGAGUAAUUAAAUAGGAAAUACACAAACCCAAUAAUGAGAACAAAAAUAAUAAAUAAUCAUCCACAAGACACAAUAUUUAAUGAGGAAAACCCUUAAAGAGGAAAACCACAUGUCGAACUCCAAAUUUCCACUAUAUCACUAACAAUGGGUUUACAAUAACCCUCCCAAGUUUUACGCCCUAAAACUUGAGGUUACACUAAAUUGAGAGAGUACAAAUUUACCUUUAAUUAGGUUGAGAAACCUAAUUAACUUCACCAUCCAAAAACACCCAAACCAAUAAGUCUUCAAGCUUCAAUUGAUUGGAAAAGUGAUGGCGCAAGUCACCCGAAUAACCCGAAAGCAUAAACCUGCUUUCCUUUUGAAUAUCUCAAUUAAUCCCUCCUUGGUUCGGCUGCACAACAAAGAGCCGAUGCGCUUUUUAUUCCAAUCCCGCUGCCUGCCAAAGAUGGUUCCAACUAAAGGUAUCGAAUACCUUUUAUAUAUUAAUCUCAUACAUGCAUGUCCAAUUCCAAUUCGUAAUUAGAAGGCACCCGACUUUCCAAGUUUCAAUUAAUCCUUUCCUAAUUGAUUUCUUAAUUAGGCCCACAUAAUCAAGUCAAUCCAAAAUCAACUUGAACUUCACAAAUUAGAAUCCUUUUUUAUUUUGGGUUCUCUCAUGGGUGAAGGAUCAAACCCAACACCAUGGAGGCUUCUAAGCUGACUCCUUAAUGUUAGCUGAUAAGUGUCUUGUCAAAUUUAAAAGCAGAUGGUCAUGCUUUGGGUACUGCCAUUCUAGAUUUAUUCUUGCUUUAUGAAAAUUUGCUAAUAUUGUCUGCGGUGAGUUCAGCCACCUCUUUGAGGCCUGAGCUCUGAUAGUUGUGUAAUGUAUGUCAAGUUAGAUAAUAGGGUCUUCAUACAUUAGUGACCAAAAGUUUAUAGUUUGAUUAUAUAAUUUAAUAGGAUUUGAUUCAUGAAAAUAUAAGAAAAUUUGGAUUGAUCAAAAUUCCAGUAUCUUUCAGCAUCAAUUACCUAGUUAAUUUAGUAUUAUCUUUUAUUACUUCCUCCUUAUACAACCCCUUUACAAGAGUUCACCACUCACCAGUACAGUCUGACAUCACAUAAAUUCUAUGCAACUAAAUAAAGCAGUGGCCUCACAGAAAAAAAUCUUAGGAACUAUUGCUGCAGGCAUUAAAAGGAUUCUCCAACUAUGUUUAUCACUAUUCCUAGUCUCUUGAAGCAAACCUGAAUACAGCAAGAAAAAAUAGAUAAACAAAAGGUCAAAACUAUAUGUCCAGAACAUAACUCACCAAAAUAUCACUGAUAAAAUCAUCAAACAGAAUCCAAAGAAAGUAUCACAAAAGUACUCCAUCAGGAUCAUUGCAAUUUGUAAAUUAACCAUAUAGUUCAAGUUCAACAAUAACCCAUCUCACAAAAUAAACAUUUUAAUCAUCAAUACAUAUACCAUCAUCAAUUCAUCAUUUAUUUGGGUUAAUUACUUAUCAAAUUCUUACCAAAUAACAAAAAGGCAACUGGGUUAUACUUAUUUUCAAUCAAACAAGCAACAUUGAUAAACCAGAGAGGAGCAACAACUUAACGAGAACAAACCAGGGCUCGCGUGAUUAAGUAGGGAAGAAUUUCUUGGAAUCAACCAACAUGAAAAGGACCCAUAUCGCCAGAGCCGAAGGCGGUAGCAAUCUCAUCAGCAACAGACAAACAAGAAACGACCCACCCACAUAGAGCUACCCUCAUCAUCUUACCCAUCCAUAGCAUCAUACUCCAUGGCACUGCCAUGCCUCUAUAUUAUCAAUUACAGAAUCAACCUCACAGGUCACCCUAUAUUCCACGUAUCCCUCUUGAAGAAGAAGAUUGGCUCUAGGGUGGUCCAUUGUCAUGAACUACCAGCAUUGGGACCCGAAGGGCAGUUUUUAAUGGAACCAAUUGCUAUUCUGGACAGGCACCUUGUGAAACGAAAGAAUUUCUCAAGUUCUUAUCCGAUGCUCAACAUGGGAAGAUUUUUUUUUUUGGGGGGGUGGGGGGUGUCAUCAAGGACAAAUUUCCAAACGUCAGUCCUUGUGGGCAAGGACAAUUUCAAGAAGGGGAGAAUGUAACGACUGUAGAGGCCAUGGACAAUUAAGGAAAUGCUCAAUUGCCCUUUGAUAGAGAACCUCUCAAGCUGUGUUCAUAGUUAUCAAGGCGCUAAGUCGAGGCAAAACGACAGCCGGGAGCUUAAGCGCUUAGUUGACAAGGCGCCCAACUAGUCGUCCACAAAUAGACAAGUCGUUAACAAUGUAAAUUUUAUACGUAUAAAAUUAUUAUAUUUAACAUUUAUAUGAAUAUUUAUAUUUUAUAUUUCUAAUGAUUUACCAUAUUCAUAAUGCAUGUUGUAACAUAUCAAAUCACAACAAGAAGCGAACAAGAUCAAGUUAAAAUGAUAAUUUUACUAUAGUUGUAAUUUUUUAAACGUGUACUAACUUCAAAUUAUAUAAAUAGUGAUACAUUUAUAAUAUUUAGUGUAAUUCAAUAUAAUUUUUAAAUUUAUUUUUAGUUUCCCAAGUUUUAAGAUUGUAUAUAUAGAAUACCAUAAAUUCAAUACUAAAAAUUCAAUGCAUCACAUAUCAUAUAUAAAAAAAAUUAAGCAGCAGCCCUCAACAAAGGAGAAUACACGUCGUUUAAAGUCGACCACUUUGAACUCCAAUCGUCCAAGUCGCUGCCAAGUCGUCACCUUUGUUAGCUAGGCGCUCGCCUUUCUGACCUCCAACCAAGUCGUCCAAAUGCCUUCAUAUUUUCCACCGCUUGGACGCCUAAGCGUGUUGGGAUGUAAAGGGCCAGAUGACCGUUGCAUUGAAGAUAUAUGAAUAACGGUGUCAGUGGAACACGGCAACUCAGUCAUUUUGUUGUUGCGCUUUUGUUUUGGUACUUUAAUUAAGUAAUUAGGGGUCAAUUAUGCUGGCAUUUCUUUAUUGGGUCAUGUAGUCAUUUUUUCGUUCUGUUAGAAUCGAGAUUGGGAUUCCUUUUUACUCACUGCUAUGGUGUACACCCAUGUGAUGAGCUAAUGGAUAUCCAUGUAAUCAAUUGAGCAAAUUUGUAAAAAAAAAGUGAAUUGAUCUCUCUCUAUUUAUUUCUUUUCUUGCUGUCCAAUUCUCCAUAAUUUCCUUUUCCAUUGUUAUGGUUUAGUCUCAAUUCCAAAGUUCAUAUAUAUCACAGUUUAAUAUGGGGGAGCCCAUAGUUUAGUUCUACGGACAGAAGCGCACUAUGUCAAUGUACAAAAAUACUAUCUUUUUAAAAGUAAUCCUCAUCUGCACAAUUAAACUGCGGAUCAGAGAGUUUUUUUAUGUCAAAUUGGUCAUAAUCCUUCUUUCUCUCUAGUCUUUAUUUUGAACUAAUACGAAAUUGAGGCAGAAAUUAAAGAGGAUCCUAACAACUUUAAAUUCGUUAACUCUGUGGACAAUCGAGCAAAACUUGGACAAAAAUUUCUGGGAGGAGUGGAAAGUUUCGGUCUUUAUACAUUAAGAUUGUUGUGAAGGAUUCUUUUUUGGGGUCUUUAGAUAUUUUGGUUUUUCAGGUUUGGUGAAUUACAGUUGAUUUUUGUGAUGUUGUGUUUGGAUCCAGAUACGGGUCUCUAAUUGUACAGAUCAUAUAACUACUACUUGAAAGCUUGUAGAAAUUGUUUAAAGAUUCAACCUUUUUGGUUCCCAAAGGAGAUAUAGUGAGACAAAAUCAAUUUGAAGAAUCAAUGGGGUCUGCAAGUAAGGAUAUACAAGUAUGUAAUAAAAGUUUUUUUAUAUCAUUUAAGUAGGUGCAGAAUUUUCAUGAUUUUACUUUGAUUGAUUUUCAGUUAAAUAGCUCGAUCGUCCGCAGAGUUAACGAAUUUAAGAAGGAUGCAUAAAAAAAUUCUUCAGUCCGCAGUAUUAAACUAGGGACAAACUGAAUUGAUUUUUAAAGAAAAUAUAAAAAUUAUUGGGAUAUUUCACAUGAAUCCAACAUCGGGUAAAUUCAUGUGUAAAUGAGUUAAUAAGUAUGGCAGACCAUAAUAAUUUAACCUUUUAGGUAAGGAGGUCAUCCGACAUGCUUGUAGGGUCAGUAUACAUAGAUGUACGCUACAUUGGUGUUGAAUGAAUGUGGGAUGAAUCAUUCCAAGUCCACUACAAUUGGUAUCAGAGCUCAUGGUUGGAUGGGCCCAAGUAUCAGGUUGACACUCCAAGGUGAAGGUGGAGCAUUAAGGUCGCGUGUUACUCAGUCCACGCGGUGGAGCAAAUAGAAUUGAGUUAGGUGGGGUAAGGAAUCACUCCCACAAUUGCCACCACACAGUGAAAUAUGAUUUGAGUCGAAUGAAGCGGGCUCAAGAUGGAUCUUAGAAGCUUCUCAGGGUGCCACUACACGGUGAAGUAUGAUCUGAGUCUAAUGAAGUUGGCUCAGGAUGGCUCUGGGAAACUACUCAGGGUGAAGGGUUCACUUAUGAUUUGAGUCGAAUAGAGCAACUCAGGAUGGCUCUGGAAAGUUGCUCAGGAUGAAGGGUUCACAAAGAGCAAGGUUGUAGUCUCACGUUUGGCUCUGGCGUUGCGGAGUAACUAGAGUUAGAGUCGAGCAGAGCUCUUGAAGGACUCAAAAAAAGUGUGCUCAAUGGUGACUACUCUGGCGUGGUGGAGUAAUUAGAGUUAGAGUCGAGCAGGGCUCUUGAAGGACUCAAAAAAAGUGUGCUCUAUGGUGACUACUCUUGCGUGGUGGAGUCACUCAAAGAAAGUAUACUCCAUGGUGAUUACUCUAAUAUGAUACUUGUGAUAAGUAUUCAAGUGAAAAGUGGAGAUUAUUGGGAUAUUUUACAUAAAUCACACAUCGGAUAAAUUCAAAAGUGUAGAUAGGUUAAUAAGACUACUCUAAUAUGAUACUUGUGAUGGAAAAAAGUGAAAGGUGGAGAUUGUUGGAAUAUUUCACAUAAAUCCCAUAUCGGAUAAAUUAAGGUCAUCCAAUGCGUUGCAUUGGUGCUGAAUUAAUGCGGGAUUGAUCGUUCAAUUCCAGUUCCACACCAAAAAAAUGAUAAUUAUUUACAAGUGGGUUUAGCUUUGCGGACUCGAGGUGUAGAUGGUAUUAUUUUCCGCGUCAGAUCCGCGAUUGGACGGUCUGUUGUAAGAAUCUUAUUCUUACAACGUUGGCCCUUAUAUAUAUACCAUCAUCAGUUCAUCAUUAAUCAGUCUACACAGAUGUACGCUACAUUGGAGUUGAAUUAAUGUGGGAUGAAUCAUUCAACUCCACUACAAUUGGUAUCAGAGCUCAUGAUUGGAUGGGCUCAAGUAUCAGGUUGACAGUCCAAGGUGAAGCAUUCUCAGGCCGCAUGUUACCCAGUCUGCACGGUGGAGCAAAUAGAGUUGAGUCAGGUGGAGUAAAGAAUCACUCCCACGAUUGCCACAACACAGUGAAAUAUGAUUCGAGUCAAAUGGAGCGGACUCAGGAUGGCUCAGGGUGCCACUACGCGGUGAAGUAUGAUUUGAGUCGAAUGAAGCUGACUCAAGACGGCUCUGGGAAACUGCUCAGGGUGAAGGGUUCACAUAUGAUUUGAGUCGAAUGGAAUGAACUCAGGAUGGCUCUGGGAAGUUACUCAGGGUGUCGGAUAUGGUGUCUGCAAAUACAAAUGUUUCGUGCUUGAUGACAGAAGAUGAGAAGAAAGUAUCUGUCAUGGCCCCAGCUUGUUGAAAUCUCUGCAACUACAAUGGUAACUUAGGCCCAUAGGAUUUUUUUUAUUGUCAACACUGGAGGCACACAGGUAUACAUGUAUACAUAUAUGUAGAAUUACAUCCAAUGGGAAUCUGGGUUGUUGGUAAGUUUCCAUUUAACUUUUGGACAAAAAACUAAUUGCACACUAUGCAGCAAUAUUAUGCAUUUCAUAGGCGCUAAGUUUCUAGGAGCUUAGAGUAGUGCAAUAGCAUCUACUGACAUCAACAAAAAUUAUUCAAAUAAGUUUCCGAACGUUUAGCUCUGGCAUUGCAGAGUAACUAGAGUUAAAGUCGAGUAGGGCUCUUGAAGGACUCAAAGAAAGUGUGCUCAAUGGUAACUACUCUAGCGUGGUGGAGUAAUUAGAGUUAGAGUCGAGCAGGGAUCUUGAAAGACUCAAAGAAAGUGUCUUCAAUGGUGACUACUCUGGCGUGGUGGAGUAAUUAAAGUUAGAGUCGAGCAUAGCACUUGAAGAACUCAAAGAAAGUAUGCUUUAUGGUGAUUACUUUAAUGGGCAAAGGUUCAAAAAAAAUGUCCCUGAUGUUUACACGGAUAUCCCACUUCCACUGUAAACUAAUUUUUUUUCCAAAAGUACCCUUAACGUUUCAAAAUGGAGGUCACUCGUGCCUCUUCCGUUAACAGAAGACAAACAGGGUUAAAAUGUGAUGACGUGACAGGCUUAAAUAUAAAACAUAUUCUAAAUAAAACAAUAUAUAUCAUUUAAUCAAAACAAAAAUACUAAAUUCAAAAUAAAAAAAGCAUAACAUAUUUACAUCAUUUAAUCAAAAUAAUAAAAUUCAAAUUAUUUUGUUAACUAAUCAAAACAACUAAUUAAAUAAAAUAAGUUGUAUAACAUAUUUACAUCAUUUAAUCAAAAUACUAAAAUUCAAAACAUAACAUAUUUACAUCAAAUAAUAAUUAAAAAAUACUAAAAUACUAAUUAAAAAAAUACUAAAAUACUAAAAAAAAUCAAAUUAAAAAAAUACUAAAAUUCAAAUUAUUUUGUUAAUUAAUCAAAACAACAAAAAUUCAAAUUACAUCAUUAAAAUACUAAAAUCAUAAUACUAAAUACUAAUUGAUAUAAAAUAUUUAAAUUACUAAAAUCAUAAUACUAAAUAAUAUUUUUAAAAUUCAAAACUGGAGUAUUAUGAUUAUUUUAGUAAUUUUUAAUAUUAAUUUUUAAAAUCAUAUCAAUUUAAAAAUAUUAUGAUGUAAUUUGAAUUUUUUAAUACAUUUUUUAAAAUAUUAUUACAUCAUCAAAUUAUAACAUAUACUGUUAUGUAUAGAUUAUUACAUCAUCAAAUUAUUUAUAUUAUUUAUAACAUAUAUAGAUUAUGUAUAGAUUAUUACAUCAUCAAAUUUUUAUAUAGUUUAAAAAUAUUAUUUAGUAUUAUGAUUUUAGUAAUUUAAAAAUUUUAUAUCAAUUAGUAUUUAGUAUUAUGAUUUUAGUAUUUUAAUGAUGUAAUUUGAAUUUUUGUUGUUUUGAUUAAUUAACAAAAUAAUUUGAAUUUUAGUAUUUUUUUAAUUUGAUUUUUUUAGUAUUUUAGUAUUUUUUUUUAAUUAGUAUUUGAUGUAAAUAUGUUAUAUUUUGAAUUUUAGUAUUUUGAUUAAAUGAUGUAAAUAUGUUAUACAACUUAUUUUAUUUAAUUAGUUGUUUUGAUUAGUUAACAAAAUAAUUUGAAUUUUAUUAUUUUGAUUAAAUGAUGUAAAUAUGUUAUGUUUUUUUUUUGAAUUUUAGUAUUUUUUGUUUUGAUUAAAUGAUAUAUAUUGUUUUAUUUAGAAUAUAUUUUAUAUAUAUUUAAGCCUGUCACGUCAUCACAUUUUAAUUUCGUUUGUCUUCUGUUAACGGCAUGGGCACGGGUGACCUGCUUUUUGAAAUGUUAAGGGUAUUUUUGGGAAAAAAAAAAUUAGUUUAGGGUGGAAGUGGGACAUCCGUGUAAACAUCAGGGUCAUUUUUGAACCUUUACCCUUACUUUAAUAUGAAAGGUGGAGAUUGUUGCCCACAUAGGAUAAAUUCAAGAAUGUAGAUAUGUUAAUAAGACUACUCUAAUAUGAUACUUGUGAGGGAAAUAAGUGAAAGCUAGAAAUUGCUGGGAUAUUCACAUAAAUCACACAUCGCAUAAAUCACACAUUGGUGCUGAAUUAAUGUGGGAUUGUUCAAUUCCAGUUCCACUACAAAAAUUAUAAUUAUUUACAAGUGGGUUUAUCGUCCGUAGUUUAGCUUUGCGGACUCGAGGUGUAGACGUUAUUAUUUUCCGCAUCAGAUCCGGGACUGUCUGUUGUAAUAAUAAUCUUAAUCUUACAACGUUGGCCCUUAUAUAUAUAUACCAUCAUCAGUUCAUCAUUUAUCUGGGUUAAUGACUUGUGAAAUUCUUACCAAAAAAUAAAAACGCAACUGGGUUAUAUUUAUUUUCAAUCAAAAGAGCAUAAUUGAUAAACCAAGAAGGAGCAACAAGUUAACGAGAACAAACCAGGGAACGGCUGAUUAAGUAGGGCAGAAAUUCUUGGAAUCAACCAACAUGAAAAAGGACCAUAUCGCCAGAGCGGAAGGCGGCAGCAAUCUCAUCGGCAACAAACAAACAAGAAACGACCCACCCACAUUAAGCUACCCACACCAUCUUACCCAUCCAUAGCGUCAUACUCCAUAUCACUGUCAUGCCUCUAUCUUAUCGAUUUCUUCAAGUUGGGGGUUUGUUUAUUUUGGUGAUCUUCUAAAGAAUGGAACGAUUGUGUAGAAGGGAUAUCUUAGACAUAUCUAUUUCCUGUUUGGACUCUUCGAGUACAGACAGAAGAUGUACAGAGCCGUAACGGCGUGAUUGGCGGGUGGG